CAGACCUGUACUGUGGGUAAUUGCCUUGAUUUCUUUUCCCCCCAGAAUGUACUGUUACGGAGAGAAAUACACAAACGUAGCUGUGAUAGAAAAGCUGUCAUGUUGACACAAAUUGAACUUGUAAUCAGCUAAGGUGCCAUUGCCUGAGUGGUCUCCAGGAAUGACUUCACACUAUCACGCACUUCAGUUCAACCUUCAGGACAGCAAAGGUAAGUAAUUUCAUAUUUCAACAAAAGUUGAGGGAGGCUUCAAUACUGCGUUCCAAAACGCAAAAGGGUCUCAGUAUUCAAAAGAGGUUACAUUUGAAGAAAGACUUAGAAGUAAAUCCACUAUGGCAUAAUCUUAACUGUGGCAGUUCUUAACAUUGCACUUUGACUUGAAGUUUAUUUUAGCAGUUAAGUAGGAAGAAGUUGCACUAAGAUGCUGACUGACACUCUUAAGAAACAGCCCACACAUAAAUUAAUAGUUGCUUGUUGUGGUGGAGUACUCAGUAAUAGGACCCUGGUCUCAGUAACAGUCACAUAAGCCACCCUCUAACCUUCCCCCCCAAAAAUCAUGAUUUGGUUUUGAAAGUAACUUUAAAAAAAUAACUCCAGACAUUUGAUACAGUCUUUAUUCAAACGAUGAAAAAAUCCUUUAUGCCACAAGCACACAGGCUCCACCAACUUC